rnacentral:lncRNA from 1 species
CGAUUAUUAUUUAGGAGUUAUUGAGAGGAAAAAAAAAAAAAACGUGAUACAGAUAACAAUUAAAAAUUACGUAAUUUAUAGCGAUAUAGUUUCUUGUGAGCAGGUAUCUUCUUCACUUUCUUUGCAAUACACGCUUUGCUUCAAUGUAAGAGACGAGACCGUGCAACGAUCAAUACAGGGGAGUGUCAUGGAUUCAACAGGCUUCGGCUAAUGGAGGCGGAGAAGGUUUCCUGCAUUCGAUCGAUAGGAUCGAGCCCGUCAAGAACUACCGCAACAGUGACAUGUUGCUUUACGCUGGCGCAGACCAAUCCAACAAGUGGAAACCUGUUGAAGACUUCGAUGCUUUCUCACACAGUGACGCUGCAUCUGCGAAAAGGAUUUGCAGAAGUUGCUGAGUUUCGUACUUUGAUAUCUUACUUUUCUCCCAACAUGACGAUAAAAUAAAAAUCUCGGAGCAGACAGAAAAAUAAACAUGGAAAAUUAUUUCUGAAAAUGGCGGUUAUAUACUUCUCCGAGUCUGGUGGUUAUAUUAUAUAAUAAUUUUCGUUUUGUGCAACUGACUAG